UACGUAGGGUCCGAGCGUUGUCCGGAAUUAUUGGGCGUAAAGAGCUCGUAGGCGGUCUGUCACGUCGGCUGUGAAAACACGGGGCUCAACUCCGUGCCUGCAGUCGAUACGGGCAGACUAGAGUUCGGUAGGGGAGACUGGAAUUCCUGGUGUAGCGGUGAAAUGCGCAGAUAUCAGGAGGAACACCGGUGGCGAAGGCAGGUCUCUGGGCCGCUACUGACGCUGAGGAGCGAAAGCAUGGGGAGCGAACAGG
rnacentral:rRNA from 1 species